AAGUCGUAACAAGGUUUCCGUAGGUGAACCUGCGGAAGGAUCAUUACAAAUCUUUGCGAGUGCUGCGUGCGUAACUGUGCGUAGCAUUUCACAUUAGCACAAGGUCUUGCGAUCUUGAUGUUUACGCUUGUUUGUUUGACAGAGUUAGUUGAGAAUAAAAAAAGACAACUUUUAACAAUGGAUCUCUUGGCUCUU
rnacentral:misc_RNA from 1 species